rnacentral:rRNA from 1 species
GCCGAGCGGCGAACGGGUGUGUAACGCGUAAGCAAGUCUGCCCCACAAUCGGGAACAACCGUGCCAACGCGCGGCUAAUGCCGGAUAGUUGUGUCCUACUGCAUAGUAGGUUAACGAAAGAUUUAUCGUUGUGGGAUGAGCUUGCGUCCGAUUAGCUAGUUGCGGGGUAAUAGCCACCAAGGCGACGAUCGGUAGCCGGCCUGAGAGGGUGAUCGGCCACACUGGGACUGAGAUACGGCCCAGACUCCUACGGGAGGCAGCAGUAGGGAAUAUUGCGCAAUGGGGGGAACCCUGACGCAAGCAACGCCACGUGUGGGAAGAAGCAUUUCGGUGUGUAAACCACUGUCGGAAAGGAAUAACGGAAGACUUCGGUCUUUAUGAAUGUACUUUUAGAGGAAGCACCGGCAAACUUCGUGCCAGCCGCCGC